UUGGAGGGCAAGUCUGGUGCCAGCAGCCGCGGUAAUUCCAGCUCCAAUAGCGUAUAUUAAAGUUGUUGCAGUUAAAAAGCUCGUAGUUGAAUUUCGGGGUUAGUAGGUUGGUCGUGCCUCAGGUAUGUACUGAUCUCACUGAUUCCUCCUUCCUGAUGAACCGUAAUGCCAUUAAUUUGGUGUUGCGGGGAAACUGGACUGUUACUUUGAAAAAAUUAGAGUGUUUAAAGCAGGCUAACGCUUGAGUACAUUAGCAUGGAAUAAUGAAAUAGGACGUUCGAUCCUAUUUUGUUGGUUUCUAGGAUUGACGUAAUGAUUAAUAGGGAUAGUUGGGGGCAUUAGUAUUCAAUUGUCAGAGGUGAAAUUCUUGGAUUUAUUGAAGACUAACUACUGCGAAAGCAUUUGCCAAGGAUGUUUUCAUUAAUCAAGAACGAAAGUUAGGGGAUCGAAGACGAUCAGAUACCGUCGUAGUCUUAACCAUAAACUAUGCCGACUAGGGAUCGGACGAUGUUAACUUUUCUUGACUCGUUCGGCGCCUUACGGGAAA
rnacentral:rRNA from 1 species